rnacentral:tRNA from 1 species
GCCCAGAUGGCGGAACUGGUAGACGCGCUAGACUCAAAAUCUGGUUCUCGCAAGGGAGUGCAGGUUCGAUUCCUGUUCUGGGCA